rnacentral:rRNA from 1 species
UAAGGAAUAUUGCUCAAUGGGAGAAAUCCUGAAGCAGCAACGCCGCGUGGAGGAUGAAGGGUCUAUGACUUGUAAACUCCUGUAAAGAAGGAAAAAAUUCCCAUUAGAUGGGAGAUGAUGGUACUUCUGGAGUAAGCCCCGGCUAACUACGUGCCAGCAGCCGCGGUAAUACGUAGGGGGCAAGCGUUGUCCGGAUUUACUGGGUGUAAAGGGUGCUCAGGCGGAUUUGUAAGUCAGAGGUGAAAUCUUACAGCUUAACUGUGAAACUGCCUUUGAUACUGCAAGCCUAGAGUAUGGAAGAGAGUGAUGGAAUAUCUGGUGUAGCAGUGAAAUGCGUAGAUAUCAGAUAGAACACCAAUGGCGAAGGCAGUCACUUGGUCCAUUACUGACGCUAAGGCACGAAAGCGUGGGUAGCAAACA